AGUGACCGCUGGCGGUAGGCCUAACCCAUGCAAGUCGAACGGCAGCACAGUAAGCGCUUGCUCUUACGGGUGGCGAGUCGCGUCCGGGUGAGGAAUACAUCCGAAUCUACUUUUUCGUGGGGGAUCCCGUAGGUGAACUUACGCUAAUACCGCACCCGACCUCCGGGUGAAAUCAUGGGAUCUUCGGACCUUGCGCGAUUGAAUGCGCCGAUGUCGGGUUAGCUAGUUGGCGGGGUAACGGCCCACCAAGGCGACGACCCGUAGCUGGUCUGAGAGGAUGAUCAGCCACACUAGAACUGAGACACGGUCCAGACUCCUACGGGAGGCAGCAGUGGGGAAUAUUGGACAAUGGGCGCAAGCCUGAUCCAGCCAUACCGCGUGGGUGAAGAAGGCCUUCGGGUUGUAAAGCCCUUUUGUUGGGAAAGAAAAGCAGCAGGUUAAUACCCCGCUGUUCUGACGGUACCCAAAGAAGAAGCACCGGCUAACUUCGUG
rnacentral:rRNA from 1 species